rnacentral:lncRNA from 1 species
UUGAGGAAGGAAGUCUUUGAGAGAAGACCAGUUACCGUUGGCCUGCAAUGGUAUUCUACUAAGUGUUGGAGCCUCGCUCAUAUCAGUCUGGAGAGUUGGGAACCUUUUGGGAAAUGGUGAAGUGGCGUAUUCCAUUAUCAUCAUAAUUGGGCGGAGAGAAAAUAACAAGAAGCAGAGUAUCGAGGACAGUUAGAUAACUAGGGAACAUGAAGCUAUGUUUAAGAAAGUGGAAAAUUUGUUGACAUCCAAAAGUAACCCGUCAAGUAUUCUGGUUGAACCUUGAUUCGCUGCAAUUGCCUAGGCAUCUAUCCAAGUGGUUCUAGCCGAAUUCAAGUAGCAGUCAGAAGAUUUGU